rnacentral:rRNA from 1 species
UGAGGAAUAUUGGACAAUGGAGGAAACUCUGAUCCAGCCAUGCCGCGUGAGUGAAGAAGGCCUUAGGGUUGUAAAGCUCUUUCAAUUGCGAAGAUAAUGACGGUAACAAUAGAAGAAGCUCCGGCUAAAUUCGUGCCAGCAGCCGCGGUAAUACGAAUGGAGCGAGCGUUGUUCGGAAUCACUGGGCUUAAAGCGUAUGUAGGCGGAACAGAAAGUCAGGAGUGAAAUCCCGGGGCUCAACCUCGGAACUGCUCUUGAAACUUCUGUUCUAGAAUCCUGGAGAGGUUAGGAGAAUUCCGAGUGUAGAGGUGAAAUUCGCAGAUAUUCGGAGGAAUACCAGUGGCGUAGGCGCCUAACUGGACAGGUAUUGACGCUCAGAUACGAAAGCGUGGGGAGCAAACAGGAUUAGAUACCCCUGUAGUCC